AACGAACGCUGGCGGCAGGCUUAACACAUGCAAGUCGAGCGCCCCGCAAGGGGAGCGGCAGACGGGUGAGUAACGCGUGGGAACGUACCCUUUGCUACGGAAUAGCUCCGGGAAACUGGAAUUAAUACCGUAUGUGCCCUACGGGGGAAAGAUUUAUCGGCAAAGGAUCGGCCCGCGUUGGAUUAGCUAGUUGGUGGGGUAAUGGCCUACCAAGGCGACGAUCCAUAGCUGGUCUGAGAGGAUGAUCAGCCACAUUGGGACUGGGACACGGGCCAAACUCCUACGGAAGGCAGCAGUGGGGAAUAUUGGACAAUGGGCGCAAGCCUGAUCCAGCCAUGCCGCGUGAGUGAUGAAGGCCUUAGGGUUGUAAAGCUCUUUCACCGGAGAAGAUAAUGACGGUAUCCGGAGAAGAAGCCCCGGCUAACUUCGUGCCAGCAGCCGCGGUAAAAC
rnacentral:rRNA from 1 species